AUUGAACGCUGGCGGCGUGCCUAACACAUGCAAGUCGAGCGAGAUUAAGUGGUGUGAGGUCUUCGCCCUGAGUGAAGCUUAUGAAAGCGGCGGACGGGCGAGUAACGCGUGGGCAACCUGCCCCAUACAGAGGGAUAGCUACUGGAAACGGUGAUUGAUACCUCAUAAGUCAGUAGGGUCGCAUGAUCUAGCAGACAAAGAUUUAUGGGUAUGGGAGGUGCCCGGGUCUGGGUAGCUAGUGGGUGAGGUAACGGCUCACCAAGGCGACGAUCAGUAGCCGACCUGAGAGGGUGAUCGGCCACGCUGGAACUGAGACACGGUCCAGACUCAUACGGGAGGCAGCAGUGGAGAAUAUUGCACAAUGGGCGCAAGCCUGAUGCAGCAACGCCGCGUGAGUGAUGAAGGCCUUCGGGUUGUAAAACUCUGUCCUAUGGGAAGAAACAAAUGACGGUACCAUGGGAGGAAGCCCCGGCUAACUACGUGCCAGCAGCCGCGGUAACAC
rnacentral:rRNA from 1 species